rnacentral:snoRNA from 1 species
ACGCGUCUCUGACAGAUCUGGAACAGUCAAUGCCUGCUGCUAAGGUUUCCACUAUAGAUGCAAGAAAAAGAAGGCACUCGCAUUUUCUGUUUGUCUGGUUGUGGCCAAGAUUGAAUGGGGGAACACAGGA